rnacentral:tRNA from 3 species
GCCGCUAUGGUGGAAUCGGUAGACACGCUGCUCUUAGGAAGCAGUGCUAGAGCAUCUCGGUUCGAGUCCGAGUGGCGG